rnacentral:rRNA from 1 species
AUUGAACGCUGGCGGCAGGCUUAACACAUGCAAGUCGGACGGUAGCACAGAGAGCUUGCUCUCGGGUGACGAGUGGCGGACGGGUGAGUAAUGUCUGGGGAUCUGCCCGAUAGAGGGGGAUAACCACUGGAAACGGUGGCUAAUACCGCAUAACGUCGCAAGACCAAAGAGGGGGACCUUCGGGCCUCUCACUAUCGGAUGAACCCAGAUGGGAUUAGCUAGUAGGCGGGGUAACGGCCCACCUAGGCGACGAUCCCUAGCUGGUCUGAGAGGAUGACCAGCCACACUGGAACUGAGACACGGUCCAGACUCCUACGGGAGGCAGCAGUGGGGAAUAUUGCACAAUGGGCGCAAGCCUGAUGCAGCCAUGCCGCGUGUAUGAAGAAGGCCUUCGGGUUGUAAAGUACUUUCAGCGGGGAGGAAGGUGAUGUGGUUAAUAACCGCAUUGAUUGACGUUACCCGCAGAAGAAGCACCGGCUAACUCCGUGCCAGCAGCCGCCGUAA